rnacentral:rRNA from 1 species
AACGAACGCUGGCGGCAGGCUUAACACAUGCAAGUCGAACGCCCCGCAAGGGGAGUGGCAGACGGGUGAGUAACGCGUGGGAACGUACCCUUUGCUACGGAAUAGCUCCGGGAAACUGGAACUAAUACCGUAUGUGCCCUACGGGGGAAAGAUUUAUCGGCAAAGGAUCGGCCCGCGUUGGAUUAGCUAGUUGGUGGGGUAAUGGCCUACCAAGGCGACGAUCCAUAGCUGGUCUGAGAGGAUGAUCAGCCACAUUGGGACUGAGACACGGCCCAAACUCCUACGGGAGGCAGCAGUGGGGAAUCUUGCGCAAUGGGCGAAAGCCUGACGCAGCCAUGCCGCGUGAAUGAUGAAGGUCUUAGGAUUGUAAAAUUCUUUCACCGGGGACGAUAAUGACGGUACCCGGAGAAGAAGCCCCGGCUAACUACGUGCCAGCCGCCGCAGUAAAAC